GGCACCCGUAGCUCAGCUGGAUAGAGCGCCGCCCUCCGAAGGCGGUAGUCAAGUCCGGCGAAAGUUGAGGGUGUUUGGAAAAGGUAACGAUUUAAUAAUGGCUUGAGCGAAUAUCGGGUUCG
rnacentral:tRNA from 1 species